CAGUAGCCGCGGUAACACGAAGGGUGCAAGCGUUAAUCGGGAUUACUGGGCGUAAAGCGUGCGUAGGCGGUCUGUUAAGUCUGUUGUGAAAUCCCCGGGCUCAACCUGGGAAUGGCAAUGGAUACUGGCAAGCUAGAGUGUGUCAGAGGAUGGUGGAAUUCCCGGUGUAGCGGUGAAAUGCGUAGAGAUCGGGAGGAACAUCAGUGGCGAAGGCGGCCAUCUGGGACAACACUGACGCUGAGGCACGAAAGCGUGGGGAGCAAACAGGAUUAGAUACCCGCGUAGUCCCUGUCUCUUAUAC
rnacentral:rRNA from 1 species